UAGCCUGAAAAGNGCUGGUUCACAGCCACA
rnacentral:piRNA from 1 species